rnacentral:rRNA from 1 species
UUUAACGGCCGCGGUAUAUUGACCGUGCAAAGGUAGCAUAAUCAUUAGUCUUUUAAUAGAGGGCUGGAAUGAAGGGUUUAACGAAGUACUUACUGUCUCAUUUAAUUUGAUAUUAAAAUUUACUUUUUCAGUCAAAAAGCUGAAAUAUUAUUGGAAGACGAGAAGACCCUAUAGAGCUUUAUAUUUAAUUAUCUAAUAAAUUUUUGGAUUAAUUAUUAUUUAUUAUUUAAUAAAAUAUUUUGUUGGGGUGACAAAAAUAUAUAAUUAACUUUUUUAUUUAUAUAACAUUGAUAUAUGAAAAUUAGAUCCAGUUUUACUGAUUAUUAGAAUAAGUUACCUUAGGGAUAACAGCGUAAUCUUCCUUUAGAGUUCAUAUUCACAGGGAGGCUUGCGACCUCGAUGUUGGAUUAAGAUUAUAAUUAGGUGUAGCCGCUUAAAAAAUAGGUCUGUUCGACCUUUAAAUUCUUACAUGAUCUGA